GAAUAGCAAACAAAGAAUUAAUAUAAAUACAAAUUCUUUUUCUUUGUUACACAAAUAUAUCAAGUGUUUCGAUCACAAAGUAAACUCCGACUCUCUACUGGUGUGUACAACAUCAAUAAAGGAAGCAAUUGUAUCUAACGCAAACAAAGGAAUAUUUGUUUUGUAGCAAGGCAAUGCUGACUCGUGCAGCGAUAGAUAAGAAUGUAUGUACGUAUGCACAUAUGUACUUACAUAAUAUUUACACAAUUUAUAAAAUACAACGAGAAAUCCAUGAAAUCAAAACAGAAUAACAAAUUAUGAUAAUACUUUUCAGUUUUGUUGUCUUAUAAAUAAUCUUCUUAGAAGACUUUUCUGUUACGCUUACUUUACACAAAUAGAUAUCGUGCGUAUACAUUGUGUUCGCAUUAUCAAGCAAAAUUAAAUGGUAUCGAAUGAAGGAUCACGCGAUGCGUUUAUCGACUCCGGAAGUGAAGACGUUUCUCAUGGAUUUCCCUAUGACUUUAAACAACAUUUAAACUGUAAUUUUUCAAUCCUUUUAAAAAAUAUGACAAUUUUUAAGCAUAUGAUCCAGAGUAAAUGCUCUGUUUAUCUUGUAUUAACGAUAAGAGCGGCUCUGUUCAUUGUCUAUUACACAAGUAUGUAAUACGGAUAUAUUAUACAAUAUAUAUUCAAUUGAUUGAUACAAAUGUCAACAAGUUAUUCGUCUAAUAACAUUACAGUAUGCAAUAAAACGAUUAGAUAGUAUAUGAAACACGUCGUUUAAAUAGAUGCCGCUAACCAUUUUAAUCUUCUUUUAGAUACUAAUUGAAAGAGCUACUUUUUCAAUUGAAUCACUGAAUUCCUUUGUUAUACGAAAUAUGUAUGUACAUGUGUAGAUGUUAAAAAAAAAAAAGAAAAAAAACUCGAUAUA